GAACGGCCCGCGUCUGAUUAGCUAGUUGGUGAGGUAAUGGCUCACCAAGGCGACGAUCAGUAGCUGGUCUGAGAGGAUGGCCAGCCUCACUGGGACUGAGACACGGCCCAGACUCCUACGGGAGGCAGCAGUGGGGAAUAUUGGACAAUGGGCGCAAGCCUGAUCCGGCCAUGCCGCGUGGAUGAUGAAGGCCCUAGGGUUGUAAAGUCCUUUUAACGGGGAAGAUAAUGACGGUACCCGUAGAAUAAGCCCCGGCUAACUUCGUGCCAGCAGCCGCGGUAAUACGAAGGGGGCUAGCGUUCCUCGGAAUUACUGGGCGUAAAGCGCACGUAGGCGGUCUUUUAAGUCGGGGGUGAAAUCCUGGAGCUCAACUCCAGAACUGCCUUCGAUACUGGAAGACUUGAGUCCGGGAGAGGUGAGUGGAACUGCGAGUGUAGAGGUGAAAUUCGUAGAUAUUCGCAAG
rnacentral:rRNA from 1 species